rnacentral:rRNA from 1 species
CAGGGGGUGCUAUACAUGCAGUCGAGCGCAGGAAGCAAGCUGAUCCCCUUCGGGGGUGACGCUUGUGGAAUGAGCGGCGGACGGGUGAGUAACACGUGGGCAACCUGCCUGUAAGACUGGGAUAACCCCGGGAAACCGGGGCUAAUACCGGGUAAUACCUGACUCCGCAUGGAGUCGGGUUGAAAGAUGGCUUCUUGCUAUCACUUACAGAUGGGCCCGCGGCGCAUUAGCUAGUUGGUGAGGUAACGGCUCACCAAGGCAACGAUGCGUAGCCGACCUGAGAGGGUGAUCGGCCACACUGGGACUGAGACACGGCCCAGACUCCUACGGGAGGCAGCAGUAGGGAAUCUUCCGCAAUGGACGAAAGUCUGACGGAGCAACGCCGCGUGAACGAUGAAGGUCUUCGGAUCGUAAAGUUCUGUUGUCAGGGAAGAACAAGUACCGUGCGAAUAGAGCGGUACCUUGACGGUACCUGACCAGAAAGCCACGGCUAACUACGUGCCAGCAGCCGCGGUAAUACGUAGGUGGCAAGCGUUGUCCGGAAUUAUUGGGCGUAAAGCGCGCGCAGGCGGUUUCUUAAGUCUGAUGUGAAAGCCCCCGGCUCAACCGGGGAGGGUCAUUGGAAACUGGGGAACUUGAGUACAGAAGAGGAGAGUGGAAUUCCACGUGUAGCGGUGAAAUGCGUAGAUAUGUGGAGGAACACCAGUGGCGAAGGCGACUCUCUGGUCUGUAACUGACGCUGAGGCGCGAAAGCGUGGGGAGCGAACAGGAUUAGAUACCCUGGUAGUCCACGCCGUAAACGAUGAGUGCUAGGUGUUAGGGGGCUUCCACCCCUUAGUGCUGAAGUUAACGCAUUAAGCACUCCGCCUGGGGAGUACGGCCGCAAGGCUGAAACUCAAAGGAAUUGACGGGGCCCGCACAAGCGGUGGAGCAUGUGGUUUAAUUCGAAGCAACGCGAAGAACCU